AGUGAACGCUGGCGGUAGGCCUAACACAUGCGAGUCGAACGGCAGCACAGUAAGAGCUUGCUCUUACGGGUGGCGAGUGGCGGACGGGUGAGGAAUACAUCGGAAUCUACUUUUUCGUGGGGGAUAACGUAGGGAAACUUACGCUAAUACCGCAUACGACCUACGGGUGAAAGCAGGGGAUCUUCGGACCUUGCGCGAUUGAAUGAGCCGAUGUCGGAUUAGCUAGUUGGCGGGGUAAAGGCCCACCAAGGCGACGAUCCGUAGCUGGUCUGAGAGGAUGAUCAGCCACACUGGAACUGAGACACGGUCCAGACUCCUACGGGAGGCAGCAGUGGGGAAUAUUGGACAAUGGGCGCAAGCCUGAUCCAGCCAUACCGCGUGGGUGAAGAAGGUCUUCGGGUUGUAAAGCCCUUUUGUUGGGAAAGAAAAGCAGCAGGUUAAUACCCCGCUGUUCUGACGGUACCCAAAGAAUAAGCACCGGCUAACUUCGUG
rnacentral:rRNA from 1 species